AGAGUUUGAUCCUGGCUCAGGACGAACGCUGGCGGCGUGCUUAACACAUGCAAGUCGAACGGAAAGGCCCUUCGGGGUACUCGAGUGGCGAACGGGUGAGUAACACGUGGGUGAUCUGCCCUGCACUUUGGGAUAAGCCUGGGAAACUGGGUCUAAUACCGAAUAUGACCAUGCGCCUCCUGGUGUGUGGUGGAAAGCUUUUGCGGUGUGGGAUGGGCCCGCGGCCUAUCAGCUUGUUGGUGGGGUAAUGGCCUACCAAGGCGACGACGGGUAGCCGGCCUGAGAGGGUGACCGGCCACACUGGGACUGAGAUACGGCCCAGACUCCUACGGGAGGCAGCAGUGGGGAAUAUUGCACAAUGGGCGCAAGCCUGAUGCAGCGACGCCGCGUGAGGGAUGACGGCCUUCGGGUUGUAAACCUCUUUCAGCACAGACGAAGCGCAAGUGACGGUAUGUGCAGAAGAAGGACCGGCCAACUACGUGCCAGCAGCCGCGGUAAUACGUAGGGUCCGAGCGUUGUCCGGAAUUACUGGGCGUAAAGAGCUCGUAGGUGGUUUGUCGCGUUGUUCGUGAAAACUCACAGCUUAACUGUGGGCGUGCGGGCGAUACGGGCAGACUUGAGUACUGCAGGGGAGACUGGAAUUCCUGGUGUAGCGGUGGAAUGCGCAGAUAUCAGGAGGAACACCGGUGGCGAAGGCGGGUCUCUGGGUAGUAACUGACGCUGAGGAGCGAAAGCGUGGGGAGCGAACAGGAUUAGAUACCCUGGUAGUCC
rnacentral:rRNA from 1 species